rnacentral:misc_RNA from 1 species
GAUGAAGAACGCAGCGAAGUGCGAUAAGUAGUGUGAAUUGCAGAAUUUCGUGAAUCAUCGAAUCUUUGAACGCAAAUUGCACUCUCCGGUUUUCCGGGAGAGUAUGCCUGUUUGAGGGUCAGCCUAAAUAAAUUCGGCUUCGUUGCUGUGUUUCGCGGUAACGUUUUGUCGGUAUUUGGGUCAUCUUAAACCGAAAUUCGGUCUUAAGCGACUUAAAAAUUUUUUUUUACGAUCCCACGAACGUUUCUAAGAUCUUCCUACACGUUCAAGGUGUCGAAUACCCUAUUAGUCGUGACCGUCGUAUCGGAUCGCGUCCAUAAUAUUUAUUCUUUAACUGACCUCAGACAGGUAAGAGUACCCGCUGAACUUAAGCAUAUCAAUAAGCGGAGGA